GACGAACGCUGGCGGCGUGCUUAACACAUGCAAGUCGAACGAAAAGAGGGAAAGAGCUUGCUCUUUCCGGAAUUGAGUGGCAAACGGGUGAGUAACACGUAAACAACCUGCCUUCAGGAUGGGGACAACAGACGGAAACGACUGCUAAUACCGAAUAAGUUCCAGGGGCCGCAUGGCCCAUGGAAGAAAAGGUGGCCUCUACCUGUAAGCUAUCGCCUGAAGAGGGGUUUGCGUCUGAUUAGCUGGUUGGAGGGGUAACGGCCCACCAAGGCGACGAUCAGUAGCCGGUCUGAGAGGAUGAACGGCCACACUGGAACUGAGACACGGUCCAGACUCCUACGGGAGGCAGCAGUGGGGAAUCUUCCGCAAUGGGCGAAAGCCUGACGGAGCAACGCCGCGUGAGUGAUGACGGCCUUCGGGUUGUAAAACUCUGUGAUCCGGGACGAAAAGGCAGAGUGCGAAGAACAAACUGCAUUGACGGUACCGGAAAAGCAAGCCACGGCUAACUACGUG
rnacentral:rRNA from 1 species